GGAAAAGAAAACUAAUGUAUUAAUUGGGUGCAGGGCACAUUCCAGAAGGAAGCAACACGCCACCUCAACACUGUCAUCAGUCAGGGGGUCAAUCCUAACUUUGACGCCGUCCCUUUUGUCAACCUUUACAUGUCCAGGCACCAUACCAGGCCAUUUAUCUUUGUGAAGCUGCUAAGAUAUGGGGUUACUUUUGAGAACCAUCUACGGAUGUUGUACAUAACUUUCAUAUUCCUUUUGUUAUGCCCAAUUAUCGGGCUAGGGCUGUAAUGUAUAUGUUGUACACGAUAUCUAGGGCUAUAGUUCUAAACUUUGCCGCUUUUGGCGAUAUAUGUAAUGCAUGAGAUCCUGGCAUGUUGGAAAUA